rnacentral:rRNA from 1 species
AACGAACGCUGGCGGCAUGCCUAACACAUGCAAGUCGAACGCGUGUAGCAAUACACGAGUGGCGAACGGGUGAGUAACGCGUGGGAACCUGCCUAGUGGUAGGGAAUAACUGCGGGAAACUGCAGCUAAUACCCUAUGAGCCCUACGGGGGAAAGAUUUAUCGCCAUUAGAGGGGCCCGCGUCGGAUUAGCUUGUUGGUGAGGUAACGGCUCACCAAGGCGACGAUCCGUAGCUGGUCUGAGAGGAUGAUCAGCCACACUGGGACUGAGAUACGGCCCAGACUCCUACGGGAGGCAGCAGUGGGGAAUAUUGGACAAUGGGGGCAACCCUGAUCCAGCAAUGCCGCGUGAGUGAAGAAGGCCUUAGGGUUGUAAAGCUCUUUCGGCGGGGAAGAUGAUGACGGUACCCGCAGAAGAAGCCCCGGCUAACUUCGUGCCAGCCGCCGCAGUAAUAC